AAAAGGUGAACAUAUAGAGAGAGAUCACUUAGCCUUGAAAGACAAAAUCAAAAGCAGAUAGAUCUUGCUGAAAGAAAACCAAGAAACACAACCAACCCCCCCCACC